CGGGUGAGUAAUACAUCGGAACGUGUCUUCUAGUGGGGGAUAGCUGCCCGAAAGGGCAGCUAAUACCGCAUGAGACCUGAGGGUGAAAGCGGGGGAUCGUAAGACCUCGCGCUGGAAGAGCGGCCGAUGUCCGAUUAGCUAGUUGGUGAGGUAAAGGCUCACCAAGGCGACGAUCGGUAGCUGGUCUGAGAGGACGACCAGCCACACUGGGACUGAGACACGGCCCAG
rnacentral:rRNA from 1 species